rnacentral:rRNA from 1 species
GAUGAACGCUGGCGGCGUGCCUAAUACAUGCAAGUCGAACGAACAGACGAUUAGCUUGCUCCUCGGACGUUAGCGGCGUACGUGUGAGUAGCACAUGGAUAACCUACCUAUAGGACUACGAUAACUUCCUGAAACCGAAGCUGAUACCGUGUAACAGCUUCAUCCUGAGGGUUCGAUAGUGAAAGAGGGUGUGGCUGUCACUUAGACAUGUAUCCGCGCCGCAUUGGCUAGUUGGUAAGGUAACGGCUUACCAAGGCAACGAUGCGUAGCCGACCGGAGAGGGUGAUAGGCCACAGAGGAAGUGAGAGACGGUACAGAGUCUUAGGGGAGGCCGAAGUAGCGAAUCUUGGGAGAUGGGCGAAAGCCUGCAGGAGCGGCGCCGCGUGGGUGCUGAAGGUCCUCGGAUCGUAAAACUCUGUUAUUAGGGAAGACCAAUUGUGUAAGUAACUAUGCACGUCUUGACGGUACCUAAUGAGAAAGCAACGGCUAACUACGUG